GUGCUCACUUCAGCAGCACAUGUACUAAAACUGGAAUGAUACAGAGAUUAGCAUGGCCCCAGAGCAAGAAUGACACACAAAUUCAUGAAGCGUUCCAUAUCUUU
ensembl:snRNA U6 U6 spliceosomal RNA